CCCUCACUUGUUUCUGUGUAUGCCCCACCUUCCACUUCCUGCCUCUGUCUCCAGCUGAUCUGCUCCACAGCUGCUCCUGACCUGCACUUGCUCUUGCUGCAUGAAGCAGCUGUGUAAGGAGUCUGGAUCAGCUGGGAGCAACAUGAGUGGUAUGCAGCUUCCUCCUUCCCUGUCUGGCUGUCCUUUCCCUCCACCCCUCUUCUGGCUAGGAUGAAGCUGGAAGGAGGACUCUGUGCAUCUACCUCAGCUGCUUCCUCCAAUGUGGUGUAGGAGCAGGUGAGGAGCAGCUCUGGGGAUCCCAUGCCUAUAUCAGCUGGGAGUCAGACUGCUCCAACUGGGAGGCAUGGGGAGUGGAUGCUCAGGAAGCUCAGAUCUUCUUGGGGACAACAGCAAUGGCAUGCAGAUUCAUCCUUCCAGCAUCUGUUCCCUGCCAGCCAGGGAAAUGGGGGAGAGGAGCUGGGCUGGGACUAGAUACCGGACUUGGUCAGCUGUCCCUGACCAAGCUGGGCUAUAAAAACUGCCUCUCACCACAGCUCCCAGCUUGGGUGGUCUGAUACUUGAUUCUAAGACAGCACUUUGUUUUCUCCAUGAUGAAUGGGAGGGGGAGGGGGAGAGAGGGAGCUUGUCCUGGAAUUGAAUAAAUAUGGUACUUGACUAUUAGGAUAGGCAACUUGAAUUGUGUCCUCUUACAUGCAGAACAUAACUUUUAAUUACAUAUUGCGAACUACUUUCUCCACAGGACCCUGAUUUGAUUUGGUGCAUCAGAUGGGUGGUGCUUCUGGAAAAAAAUCAAAGGUGCGUCAGGAAAGAUACCAUCAUUUCGAGACUUCUUCCUCAUUACCGAAGAAAUUGGAAGGUUCUUGACUGCAAAGAUCACUUCUCACUUCUGGGUUGGAAGGUGUCACCCUCAGUCUACAAACCACUGCAUGUAGGUCAGGAUACAAAGUGAAGAAAAGCCUAUUCAAAGAAAAAUUAAGUUUAGCUCCUUUGAUUCAGUAUCAGACUAAUCCUGGUCCCACUGAAGUCAAUGGAAACUUUGCCCCUGACGUCACCCACAGCAGAGUUUGGCUGUGUGUCUACUUCUUGCUCUGGGAUGGUGUGUUUUUCUAUUUGCUGUCAAUAAGAAUUCUUUCCUGAUCACAUAGAAGACCUCCCUCAAACCUCUAAAUCAUUAUAGUAAAUAUCUCCAUUUAAACCAAGCUAAGUGGCUAGGUAAAAAAAAUGUGUAAAGUGGGGCACAUCCAAGCGGUAGUCCUUAUAGGCUUGUGAUAGUUUCUCUGUGACUUCACCUCAAUGGGAAGUUAGCAGAACUCUUACUGGAACUGUUCUUCAGUU